rnacentral:lncRNA from 1 species
CAAGAAUAGUUGCAGUCGUGAGUGGAUUCUCUCACGUGUGUCUUAGGUGGUCUGAUACGUAACAGGAUGAGAAUUUUGUUGUUGCUUUCUAUUCCUUACGUAUUAUUCUAUGAACUUUCAUGAACAUGUUGUUGGAAUAAAUUUUAUGAGAUUUUACGUUGAGGCCUGUGUGCCAAAGUUGUUUAAAUGUUGAAUAAUUUCC